GGGCUUUGCGGCAGCUACACAUGCAGUCGAACGGUAACAGGAAGCAGCUUGCUGCUUUGCUGACGAGUGGCGGACGGGUGAGUAAUGUCUGGGAAACUGCCUGAUGGAGGGGGAUAACUACUGGAAACGGUAGCUAAUACCGCAUAACGUCGCAAGACCAAAGAGGGGGACCUUCGGGCCUCUUGCCAUCGGAUGUGCCCAGAUGGGAUUAGCUAGUAGGUGGGGUAACGGCUCACCUAGGCGACGAUCCCUAGCUGGUCUGAGAGGAUGACCAGCCACACUGGAACUGAGACACGGUCCAGACUCCUACGGGAGGCAGCAGUGGGGAAUAUUGCACAAUGGGCGCAAGCCUGAUGCAGCCAUGCCGCGUGUAUGAAGAAGGCCUUCGGGUUGUAAAGUACUUUCAGCGGGGAGGAAGGCGAUGAGGUUAAUAACCUUGUCGAUUGACGUUACCCGCAGAAGAAGCACCGGCUAACUCCGUGCCAGCCGCCCGGGGUAUUAAAAA
rnacentral:rRNA from 1 species